UACGGAGGGUGCAAGCGUUAUCCGGAUUUAUUGGGUUUAAAGGGUGCGUAGGCGGUUUGUUAAGUCAGUGGUGAAAUUUCGGGGCUCAACCUCGAACGUGCCAUUGAUACUGGCAGACUAGAAUACAGAUGACGUGGGAGGAAUGUGUAGUGUAGCGGUGAAAUGCAUAGAUAUUACACAGAACACCAAUUGCGAAGGCAUCUCACGAAACUGGUAUUGACGCUGAGGCACGAAAGUGUGGGGAUCGAAC
rnacentral:rRNA from 1 species